rnacentral:misc_RNA from 1 species
CAGGUGAGGGAUUAUGAGCUUAUGGAGGAUGCGAAUGAGAGGCUUGUGAAGGAAGAUAGGCAUUUCCUGAGGCUAGAUAGUGGGAGAAUUCAGGUGAGGGAUUAUGAGUGUUGUGAUGAGAAGUUGGUGUAUCAGAGAGUGUGUUUGAGUACGGAGGAUGGAGGAGUUGUGUCGCUGGAUUGGCCGGCGAAUUUGAACUUGGAAGAGCAAUAUGGAUUGG